rnacentral:rRNA from 1 species
GGAUUAGAUACCCUGGUAGUCCACGCCGUAAACGUUGUGAACUUGUUGUGGGGGGAUUUAGCCCCUUCCGUGACGGAGCUAACGCGUUAAGUUCACCGCCUGGGGACUACGGCCGCAAGGCUAAAACUCAAAGGAAUUGACGGGGGCCCGCACAAGCGGUGGAGCAUGUGGCUUAAUUCGAGGCAACGCGAAGAACCUUACCUGGAUUUGACAUAUACCUGACCGCCAUGGAAACAUGGUUUCUCUUCGGAGCGGGUAUACAGGUGCUGCAUGGCUGUCGUCAGCUCGUGUCG